CCUACGGGAGGCAGCAGUGAGGAAUAUUGGUCAAUGGACGGAAGUCUGAACCAGCCAUGCCGCGUGCAGGAAGACGGCCCUAUGAGUUGUAAACUGCUUUUGUACAAGGGUAAACCUGAAUACUUGUAUUCAGCUGAAAGUACUGUACGAAUAAGGAUCGGCUAACUCCGUGCCAGCAGCCGCGGUAAUACGGAGGAUGAGAGCGUUAUCCGGAUUUAUUGGGUGUAAGGGGUGCGUAGGCGGGCUGUUAAGUCAGCGGGAAAAGCCCGGGGCUCAACCCCGGCGAGCCGUUAAAACUGGCUGUCUUGAGAUGUCGAGAGGUAUGCGGAAUUCGCAGUGUAGCGGUGAAAUGCGUAGAUAUUGCGCAGAACUCCGAUUGCGAAGGCAACAUACCGGCGGCGAUCUGACGCUGAGGCACGAAAGCGUGGGUAUCGAACAGGAUUAGAUACCCCGGUAGUC
rnacentral:rRNA from 1 species